CCUUUGACGUUAGCGGCGGACGGGUGGGUAACACGUGGGUAACCUACCUAUAAGACUGGGAUAACUUCGGGAAACCGGAGCUAAUACCGGAUAAUAUUUAGAACCGCAUGGUUCGAUAGUGAAAGAUGGUUUUGCUAUCACUUAUAGAUGGACCCGCGCCGUAUUAGCUAGUUGGUAAGGUAACGGCUUACCAAGGCAACGAUACGUAGCCGACCUGAGAGGGUGAUCGGCCACACUGGAACUGAGACACGGUCCAGACUCCUACGGGAGGCAGCAGUU
rnacentral:rRNA from 1 species